rnacentral:rRNA from 1 species
UCGGAGGCGCCCAAAGGUUCCCUCAGAAUGGUUGGAAACCAUUCGCAGAGUGCAAAGGCAGAAGGGAGCUUGACUGCGACACCGACGGGUGGAGCAGGUACGAAAGUAGGGCUUAGUGAUCCGGUGGUAUUAAGUGGGAAUGCCAUCGCUCAACGGAUAAAAGCUACCCUGGGGAUAACAGGCUUAUCACUCCCAAGAGUUCACAUCGACGGAGUGGUUUGGCACCUCGAUGUCGGCUCAUCGCAUCCUGGGGCUGUAGUAGGUCCCAAGGGUUGGGCUGUUCGCCCAUUAAAGCGGUACGCGAGCUGGGUUCAGAACGUCGUGAGACAGUUCGGUCCCUAUCCGGCGUGGGCGUAGGAUAUUUGAGAGGAGCUGUCCUUAGUACGAGAGGACCGGGAUGGACGGGCCGCUGGUGUACCUGUUGCAGUGCCAACUGCAUGGCAGGGUAGCCAAGCCUGGAAGGGAUAAACGCUGAAGGCAUCUAAGCGUGAAGCCCCCCUCAAGAUGAGAUAUCCCAUUCUUUAAAGAAGUAAGACCCCUUGAAGACGACGAGGUAGAUAGGGCAGAGGUGGAAGUGCAGCAAUGUAUGGAGCUGACUGCUACUAAUCGGUCGAGGGCUUGACCUGAG